GCUGUGAUCGUAUAGUGGUCAGUACUCUGCGUUGUGGCCGCAGCGACCUCGGUUCGAAUCCGAGUCACAGCA
rfam:Apaloderma vittatum contig51601, whole genome shotgun sequence.